ACAGGAGUGAUAAAACUGUACUCUAAUGCUUUUUCCAGGGAACACAACAACUCUGGAAUGACUGCUUCAUCUCUAGGAAGUCUUCAAAUAUCAGAAGAAUCAAGUCUACUGAGAGCAUACAGCAGAAAGCUUAACUGCACAGUUGCAGAACAG